UACAGAGGGUGCGAGCGUUGUCCGGAAUCACUGGGCGUAAAGGGCGCGUAGGCGGUCGCGUAAGCGUGUGGUGAAAGCCCGGGGCUCAACCCCGGGUCGGCCGUGGCAACUGCUGGGCUGGAGCACUGUAGAGGCAGGUGGAAUUCCGGGUGUAGCGGUGGAAUGCGUAGAGAUCCGGAAGAACACCGGUGGCGAAGGCAGCUCGCUGGGACGGUACUGACGCUGAGACGCGAAAGCGUGGGGAGCAAACAGG
rnacentral:rRNA from 1 species